UACGAAGGGGGCGAGCGUUGUUCGGAUUUACUGGGCGUAAAGGGCGCGCAGGCGGCUCGUUUUGUCAGGCGUGAAAGCCCCGGGCUUAACCUGGGAACUGCGUUUGAUACGGACGGGCUAGAGUUCGGGAGAGGAGAGUGGAAUUCCCAGUGUAGAGGUGAAAUUCGUAGAUAUUGGGAAGAACACCGGUGGCGAAGGCGGCUCUCUGGACCGAGACUGACGCUGAGGCGCGAAAGCGUGGGGAGCAAACGGG
rnacentral:rRNA from 1 species